UACGAAGGGGGCUAGCGUUGCUCGGAAUUACUGGGCGUAAAGCGCACGUAGGCGGACCGAUAAGUCGGGGGUGAAAUCCUGGAGCUCAACUCCAGAACUGCCUCCGAAACUGCCGGUCUUGAGUUCGGGAGAGGUGAGUGGAACUGCGAGUGUAGAGGUGAAAUUCGUAGAUAUUCGCAAGAACACCAGUGGCGAAGGCGGCUCACUGGCCCGAUACUGACGCUGAGGUGCGAAAGCGUGGGGAGCAAAC
rnacentral:rRNA from 1 species